rnacentral:rRNA from 1 species
GACGAACGCUGGCGGCGUGCUUAACACAUGCAAGUCACGGGGGCCCGCAAGGGCAACCGGCGAACGGGUGCGUAACACGUGAGCAAGCUUCCGAUUAGUGGGGGAUAGCCGGCCCAACGGCCGGGUAAUACCGCAUACGUUCACUGGACGGCAUCGUCUGGUGAGGAAACCUCCGGGGCUAAUCGAGGCGCUCGCGGCCUAUCAGCUAGUUGGCGGGGUAACGGCCCACCAAGGCUAUGACGGGUAGCUGGUCUGAGAGGAUGGCCAGCCACAUUGGGACUGCGACACGGCCCAGACUCCUACGGGAGGCAGCAGUGGGGAAUAUUGCGCAAUGGACGAAAGUCUGACGCAGCGACGCCGCGUGUGGGAUGAAGCUCUUCGGGGUGUAAACCACUGUUGCCCGGGACGAACCUCCCCUUUCGAGGGGACUGACGGUACCGGGUGAGGAAGCACCGGCUAACUUUGUGCCAGCAGCCGCCGUAAGAC